GUCCGAAUGGUGAACGUCAGACUAUUAAUCAGCGGGUCCAAGGUUCGAGUCCUUGUGCGCCCACCA
rnacentral:tRNA from 1 species